rnacentral:rRNA from 1 species
GUGCCAGCAGCCGCGGUAAUACGUAAGGUGCGAGCGUUAAUCGGAAUUACUGGGCGUAAAGCGUGCGCAGGCGGUUUUGUAAGUCAGAUGUGAAAUCCCCGAGCUCAACUUGGGAACUGCGUUUGAAACUACAAGACUAGAAUAUGUCAGAGGGGGGUAGAACUCCACGUGUAGCAGUGAAAUGCGUAGAGAUGUGGAGGAAUACCAAUGGCGAAGGCAGCCCCCUGGGAUAAUAUUGACGCUCAUGCACGAAAGCGUGGGGAGCAAACAGGAUUAGAUACCCUGAUAGUCCACGCCCUAAACGAUGUCUACUAGUUGUUGGUGGAGUAAAAUCCAUGAGUAACGCAGCUAACGCGUGAAGUAGACCGCCUGGGGAGUACGAUCGCAAGAUUAAAACUCAAAUGAAUUGACGGGGGCCCGCACAAGCGGUGGAUUAUGUGGAUUAAUUCGAUGCAACGCGAAAAACCUUACCUGGCCUUGACAUGUACCGAAUUUACCAGAGAUGGUUUAGUGCUCGAAAGAGAACGGUAACACAGGUGCUGCAUGGCUGUCGUCAGCUCGUGUCGUGAGAUGUUGGGUUAAGUCCCGCAACGAGCGCAACCCUUGCCAAUAAUUGCCAUCAUUUAGUUGGGCACUUUAUUGGGACUGCCGGUGACAAACCGGAGGAAGGUGGGGAUGACGUCAAGUCCUCAUGGCCCUUAUGGCCAGGGCUUCACACGUAAUACAAUGGUCGGUACAGAGGGUCGCCAACCCGCGAGGGGGAGCUAAUCCCAGAAAGCCGAUCGUAGUCCGGAUUGCAGGCUGCAACUCGCCUGCAUGAAGUCGGAAUCGCUAGUAAUCGCGGAUCAGCAUGUCGCGGUGAAUACGUUCCCGGGCCUUGUACACACCGCCCGUCACACCAUGGGAGUGGGUUUUACCAGAAGUAGGUAGUCUAACCGCAAGGGGGGCGCUUACCACGGUGUGGCCGAUGACUGGGGUGAAGUCGUAACAAGGUAACC